UCCAGGUUAACAGCAACUUCAUGUAUGCUGGCUGUUGAUGGUGUAAUUGUCAAUGACCACAUAAGUGACAUAACCAUGGGUGUUGCUAUGCUCCUUGCAGCUUGUUACAAUUUUAGCAUAAUGUAUCCUGCUGGAGCUGCAGCAACACUAGAACACCUCCAAAGAUGUUUCAUUGCCAUAAAUCCAGACAGGGGAAGCAGAAUCGAGAUCAAGAAACACUGCAAGCGUUAUUCGCAGGUCCACCCUAAGGUGCUAUCUUUCAUAAAUGAAAUAUGCUGACUAAGAGUGGAGAAGCUGAAUACCAUUUCAGGAGGACUGUCCACCAGCUCUUCCUGGAUAUCCUCCCACUGUGAACUUGGGAAUUUUGCAGCCACUUACUUCUCCAAAACAACUUUUGUUCCAAGUAGCAUAGCUUCAUUCCCUUCAUCUGUAGAACUCUUACCACAAUACUAAUCAGAAUCAUAGCAGAAUGGUAACCUGAAAUUCAACACAGAUCUCAGAGCUUGUGACCAAACCUGAUUGACUUGCCCCUGAUAAACCGAUUAGAGAGUUACGGCCUUAAUAUUUCAGUCAUUUCACCUACAGAUAAACACUCUUCAAAUUGUUGAAAUGUCUCCCUGACAAGAGAAAUAAGAGACCUAAUCUUGUACCCCUUGUCGUGUUUACUGUUCAUGGCUUCCUCAUUAUUGCAAAAAUGUACCACACCUUUCAAAAGAAGUUAACGAUUCCUUGAGAUUGCUUUCUGUGUGUUUGGGACCCCAAGAUCUUCCUUCAUAACUAGACCAGUAGUCUCUCAGAGGGUACUUUGUGAUAUCCAGAAAAUACCAGUAUGCCAAGAAAUGUUUUCAAUUCAUAUACACUUAGUGUAAAAUCACACUUAGUUAUACAUGAAGCUGCAUAGCAAAUUGUCUCUUUCACAAUAUGCUUAUAGAUGCAAGGAGUCAUCAACUUCUCAAACAGUUCAAGUGGUGAUGAAGUUUCAAAGCUUUCUCUCAUUUUCUGCAAGGUUUCAGUGAUGUUGAGAAUGCUCUUUGACUUUACUGUAUUUGGGAUCUGUGUGUUUCCAAACAGGAUUGUCACAAUUUUUUUUCUGCCUCUUGUGACAUGUAAGACCACAUACUUUUAAGAACUUUAUCCCAGUGUUCUCAUUUGAGAACAUGCAUUUUCUGACACGCUGUCUUUUUGUGAAUUGAAAAAAAAUGACUUGAAAUAUAAUGUAUAUGAUAGGUCAUUCUCUGAAAAACAUAGGGUAGGAAAAUCAUGUUUGAUUUGAGUUUUGUUGUAAUGUGGAUGCUCGAUAGAAUGAAUACUUUUUAGCACAACUUUCAUCCACUUCUAGUCCACAAGAAAAUGCAUAUGAAUACAUCAAUCAAACAUAAUAUUUUGCAUGAUAUAGGUGAAAACACCAUGAUCUAUUGAUUUUGUUCGCAUUUGUGUUAUGAGACAUUUUUUCAGGUGCCCACAAAUGAGGACACUGGAAUAAAAUGGGUUGAACACCACAACUCUGAAAAUGUCUGUUCCUACUCUGUUGCUUGGACCACAUUGUUAGACACUGAAGGGAAGGAAUCAAGUAAUGUUCUGUGUAAGAUGUUUUAAGGACCUCAGUGUGCUUAUUACAGGCUCUAUAAAUUUUGUGAGUCAUCUACUUAUACACUAAGCCUAUAUUUCUUGGGUUUGGAAGCAUGAACUUUUAAUA